rnacentral:rRNA from 1 species
AGUGAACGCUGGCGGUAGGCCUAACACAUGCAAGUCGAACGGCAGCACAGUAAGAGCUUGCUCUUACGGGUGGCGAGUGGCGGACGGGUGAGGAAUACAUCGGAAUCUACUUUUUCGUGGGGGAUAACGUAGGGAAACUUACACUAAUACCGCAUACGACCUACGGGUGCAAGCAGGGGAUCUUCGGACCUUGCGCGAUUGAAUGAGCCGAUGUCGGAUUAGCUAGUUGGCGGGGUAAAGGCCCACCAAGGCGACGAUCCGUAGCUGGUCUGAGAGGAUGAUCAGCCACACUGGAACUGAGACACGGUCCAGACUCCUACGGGAGGCAGCAGUGGGGAAUAUUGGACAAUGGGCGCAAGCCUGAUCCAGCCAUACCGCGUGGGUGAAGAAGGCCUUCGGGUUGUAAAGCCCUUUUGUUGGGAAAGAAAAGCAGCAGGUUAAUACCCCGCUGUUCUGACGGUACCCAAAGAAUAAGCACCGGCUAACUUCGUG